rnacentral:rRNA from 1 species
GCGGGGAAUUUUGGACAAUGGGCGCAAGCCUGAUCCAGCAAUGCCGCGUGCAGGAAGAAGGCCUUCGGGUUGUAAACUGCUUUUGUACGGAACGAAACGGUCCUGGUUAAUACCUGGGGCUAAUGACGGUACCGUAAGAAUAAGCACCGGCUAACUACGUGCCAGCAGCCGCGGUAAUACGUAGGGUGCGAGCGUUAAUCGGAAUUACUGGGCGUAAAGCGUGCGCAGGCGGUGCUGUAAGACAGGCGUGAAAUCCCCGGGCUCAACCUGGGAAUUGCGCUUGUGACUGCAGUGCUGGAGUACGGCAAAGGGGGAUGGAAUUCCGCGUGUAGCAGUGAAAUGCGUAGAUAUGCGGAGGAACACCGAUGGCGAAGGCAGUCCCCUGGGCCUGUACUGACGCUCAUGCACGAAAGCGUGGGGAGCAAACAGGAUUAGAUACCCCUGUAGUCC